rnacentral:rRNA from 1 species
UGACCUCAAAUCAGGUAGGACUACCCGCUGAACUUAAGCAUAUCAAUAAGCGGAGGAAAAGAACUAACAAGGAUGGCCAUAGUAACUGCGAGUGAAGCGGGAAAAGCUCAAAUUUAAAAUCUGGCGGGCCCCUCCGUCCGAGUUGUAUUUCCCCAAGCGUCG